GACCCCCUUCUCAGAGAUCUUCUCCUAAAGAACUUCAAGCAGCCUAGAGUGUAACACAUCUGAAGAACAUCAGCCUUCAGCCAUGAAGACCCUUUUCCUUUUGUUUGCUGCUCUCUUGUUCUUCAGUCAAAUUAUUUCAGGAAGUUCUCAGACUGCCCCUGAUACCUUAGAAUGCAGGAGGAGUCACCAUGGAUUCUGUAAAUCCCGCUGUCCUCCGCACACUAUACCUACUGGAGGGAGCUGCCAGUGGGGAAGCCUGAUUUGCUGUAAAUCUCCUUAUAGGCAGAGAAAGUGAUAAUCGACCCAAAGGAAGACUUCUGGAUUCUAGAGAAAUACAUGCCGGCUUUGGAAAUUGGUGGCUUUGACUUCGAAGUCAAGAAUAAAGAGUCAUUUGUUUGGACUAUAAACAGACAUAAUGUUCUGCAAAGAAAUUCACACUCCUCUCUGCCCUUGCCUCCCCUUUUACACUUAUUCAUUUUUUGACUUAAGGGCAAGUUUCAGAAAAUAUUAAGUAACCAGCUAGAGUUCUCAACACAGAAUUUUGGAAAUGAAAGUUAAUUGUAAAUUAAGAAAUAAUUAGGUUGAAAUAAUAGGCUGAAUGUCAAAAAGCUGUUUAUGGAUAUUUUAAAGAAAGGGAGGGAAAAAGGAAGGGAAAAGAAAGCUUUAUUUGCUUUUCUGAAAUUCUGUGGAAAAAAUUUAUAUUUUUACUUACAAAAGGUAAAUUACAGAGCUAGUAUAAUCUAUUUCCUUGUGAUAUGCAUGAAAAUAUCACAUUUAAAGACUUGCACAAUUAUGCACCUUCUGCUUCCGUUGCAUAUAUUUGGAUCUUGUGCCUUCCAGCUUUUUUCCACUCAAAAGUUUUUUUCAAUUAUCAACUCUCUUUCAAAAAGUUUUUUUUUAAAGAGAAAGAUAAAAAUGAAUACAAACUAAUUUCAAGUAAGAAAAAAAGGAAAAAUAAAUAAAUAAAAAGAAAAACUAAAAGUGCAAGAAAGGAAUAAGAACUAAAAUAGAAAUGAUGGAAAAGAGAAACAAAAGAGGAGCUUCCAAUCCUCUUUACAGCAGUUACAAGUACAAUUAUAUAAUUGCCUCUUACAAUAUGGUUACAACAUGUCUCUCUUCUUUGUAGAAUCUAUCAUUUAAUCAUCAAACCCAUAAAUUGUUCAUUUUCUCUGUUUCAUGCAAAAAGUUCAUAAGGAAUCUCCAAUCAGUAAUAAAUGUGGAUAUUGUCUUUUCUCUGAUCAAAGAAGUCAUUUUUCUCCCAAAAGCCGAGUAAAUUUUGAAGUCUGCAAUUUCAGGAAUGCUCAUUUUAGGAAAAUCACCCAUGAGAGUUUGAACAUUAAAAAAAAAUACUUUAUGCAUUUGCACUGAGUGGUAUCACCUUUUUUCUAUCAAUAUACCUUAGUGUUAUAAAAUGUUACUAACAAACUCAAAUAAAAUACAGAUCUUAAAGCAAA